AAUUGACGGGGACCCGCACAAGCAGCGGAGCGUGUGGUUUAAUUCGUUGCUACACGAAGAACCUUACCUGGGUUUGACAUAUAGGUUGUAGGGAACUGAAAGGACGACCUUCGGGGAGCCUAUACAGGUGUUGCAUGGCUGUCGUCAGCUCGUGUCGUGAGAUGUUCGGUUAAGUCCGCUAACGAGCGCAACCCUCGUCGUAUGUUAUAUGUGUCAUACGAGACUGCCGGUAAAAGCCGGAGGAAGGUGAGGAUGAUGUCAAGUCAGCAUGACCUUUAUAUCCAGGGCUACACACACGCUACAAUGGUCUGUACAAUGGGUAGCCAAGCCGCGAGGCGGAGCCAAUCCUGAAAGCAGGCCUCAGUUCAGAUUGCAGUCUGCAACUCGACUGCAUGAAGCCGGAGUUGCUAGUAACCGCAGGUCAGCAAUACUGCGGUGAAUACGUUCCCGGGUCUU
rnacentral:rRNA from 1 species